AUGCCAUCUAUUCCCACCACAGAAUCACCGACUCAGAGCUUACUGCACAAGGAAGAAAGGGUCCAGGGGCCGGGGGUGUUUCACCUGUGCCUGCUGGGCGAGACUGGCCCCAGGCUGCUGGCGUGGACCCGGCCGCUCAGCACCUGGUGGUUCACAUGCUGGGCCCCCAGGUGCCAAGCAUUGCUCAGAGGCACAGGUGUCCUCCUUCCCACUUCUCAAAAGCCGGCUCCCUCCACCUCCCUGUUCCUGUCCCCCUCCUCCUGCAGGGACCUUCUCUGUGAACCUCCUGCCUUGGACGGGGUGACAGUCCUUCUCCAUCUGAACCAAAUGGACAUGGUGGAGAGCAAAGACGUCAAACACGUCGUGCAGAACGAACAAGGGCAACUACCGUGAAGAUAAGGCAUUGGCCACAGCAGUAGGAAGAGGAGCCUCUCCGAGUUGAGAGCCACCCAGCACAGGAUCCUAUGAACAUGUAGCUCAGAGAAUCCCUUGGAGAGAAAAGUAAAGGCUGGACAAGAUUUGGAGGCAUCUUCCCGGGAAGGUAAGAGCCUUCUUGAUUUAGUAAGGUGCUCUGCUAAACAGGUUACUUAAACUCAACUUCGUUCUAUGGGAAAUGUGUGUGGACAUUAAAGAAACAGUGAAUAUAGGUGAAGUACUUGCUAUGGGGGUGGAGGUCCAAGGAACUGUCUCAACAUUUUCCUGGAAAUGAGGCAGAGACAACAGGUGAGGCAGAAUGAGAGUGGGAUGCCAGCUACCUGCUCCCCAUGCUCCCCGAGGCAGCUUUGUGCCUGCACUUGUCCUGUUCUCUAGAUAAUCUCUGUGUCACAUGCACUAGAUGCACUGCACCCCACUCGUCCUCGAGUGACCUGUGUCUGGCACAUAAUGAGCCCUCAAUCAUCAUUUGGAAAGUGCUGAAAACACGGUGAUCUCAAAAGUGAACUUAGAAAUAUCGUAUCAGCGCUGCAAAUAAAUGAAUCCGCUUCAGCUGUCUAGUUGGGACCUAGCAAGACUAUCCACCAGGAUAAUGCUCACCCGCUCUCCUCCCUCAGCUCAGUUUCUUGGCGUAUUCACGUUUUACAACAGGGAUAAAAUACUAGGCAAGUUCUUUCCACCUCACAAAUCUGUCAGUACUUCUGCUCAUGUCACUCAGAUGAGAAACACAAGGUAAAACCGAUCUAAAGUUGGAUGAUGUGAACACAUCCUUA
rnacentral:lncRNA from 1 species